rnacentral:rRNA from 1 species
GACGUAGGGCGCGAGCGUUGUCCGGAUUUAUUGGGCGUAAAGAGCUCGUAGGCGGCUUGUUGCGUCGACUGUGAAAACCCGCGGCUUAACUGCGGGCUUGCAGUUGAUACGGGCAGGCUAGAGUUCGGUAGGGGAGACUGGAAUUCCUGGUGUAGCGGUGAAAUGCGCAGAUAUCAGGAGGAACACCGGUGGCGAAGGCGGGUCUCUGGGCAGUUCCUGACGCUGAGGCACGAAGGUCAGGGGAGCAAACGGG